CAUCAGCUGACUGCAUCGGCUCAUCGGUGUCCGAUGGCUAAUGCCAAUUGCUAGUGGUUACCCUUAAAUGCACUUCAAAUGACAUUAUUCAUCAAUGCUUUUGCUUAUUAUUGUUAUAAGUGAAGGUCUCUCAGCCCAGCCCAGAAGAUAUACUGGAAGCUUUCCUAGAGACCGGAGACCCUAACUGGAUUGCGAAGCUAUGCUCCAAGUCUUUCACAUUCAACUCUUGCUAACUAAUUCCUACUCCUAUCUGUUGAUGGCGCUCUAUAUUGAUCCGAUAAUGCGAACCUUACACUGGGCAACAUCAAGGGCCUUACGUCACGGCACUUCAUCGCCAUAAAUAUUCCAAUUGAACGCA